rnacentral:misc_RNA from 1 species
GUGAGUCAUCGAAUCUUUGAACGCAUAUUGCGCCCCUUGGUAUUCCGGGGGGCACACCUGUUCGAGCGCCAUUUCAACCCUCAAGCAUAGCUUGGUGUUGGGUAUAGUCCCUGGGGGACUUGCCCGUAACUUGUAGGCGGCUACCACCCGCACCCCCAGCGUAGCAAGCUCACGCGUUCGCUCGGGGUCGGCGCGUUUGGCCCGCCAGAUAAUAUCUUUUUCAAGGUUUGGCCUCGGAUCAGGUGGGGAUACCCGCUGAACUUAAGCAUAUCAAUAAGCGGAGGA